rnacentral:rRNA from 1 species
UACAGAGGGUGCGAGCGUUAAUCGGAAUUACUGGGCGUAAAGCGCGCGUAGGCGGCUUUGCAAGUCGAUUGUGAAAUCCCCAGGCUUAACCUGGGAACUGCAUUCGAGACUGCAUAGCUAGAGUAUGGGAGAGGGAAGUCGAAUUUCAGGUGUAGCGGUGAAAUGCGUAGAUAUCUGAAGGAACAUCAGUGGCGAAAGCGACUUCCUGGACCAAUACUGACGCUCAUGUGCGAAAGCGUGGGGAGCAAACAGG